rnacentral:lncRNA from 1 species
UUAAUUGUGUAUCUACGCUAAAUUGAUUAGUAUAACAAUGAUUAAAUUUUGAUAAGUACAACUACUUUUAACAAUACUUUUUACAAAAUGUUCCAAUAUUUCAUUAAACAGAAAUCAAUUCUAAUUAAAAAUUUAAAUUGUUACUACAGAUAAACCCAAUUUUGCAAGCAAAUAUAAUUUAUGCUGAAAAAUUAAUUUACAAUCUUUACCCUUCUUUUAUGAUAAAUUUAUAAUGACAGAGCUCAAAAGUUGAGUAAAGCAUACUUUGUUAACAUGAAAAAAUAUAAUCUUGUGUGAAUAUCAUGAUCUCUCUUGUUUUAUGUAUCCAGAAGCCUAUAAUCCUAUUGUGCAUGUGUGUGUGUGUGCGUGCAUGCGUGCGUGUUUGUUUGUUUAUUUGUUUUUCAAAUGUUGGAUGGAAUUGUUUCCAGGUUCUUUUGAUUGAACCUGGAUUCAAUUCCAUCCAUGAUUUGAAGAACAUCGAAAUGUAUAUUCACUUGUCUAAUCCAACCAACCUCUUGAUGGAGUUGGUUAUAAAAUAAUAGAUGGGUUCCUAGGCUCAAGGCCAAAUCCAAUAUAAAAAAAUUUGAUAUGUGGGAUCUAGAAUUGAAUUGGAUCUCCAUGCUUUAAGCCAACAUUUUAUCAUGUGAUCAUCCAGUAGAGGGAUGAUGAUAAUUAAUUUUUUAUGAAUGCUACAAAUGUUAUUGUUACUGAAUUCAAAUGCUUUUGUUUAUUUUAUUAAUGAUGAAACUUUCAAUAUACUAUACUAUCAUUGUUUUUGAAUAAUACUCAUACAGAAUUAUUAUGAUUAAUAUUUUCUUGCAAAGAAUAGACACUUUAUGAAAUUGUUAAACAACAGCAAGUAUUGACUUUUGAAGAUAUUUUCUGUCUCUUUUCAGUUUUUAGGCUACUUUAUAACCAAAGAUUAUUAAACAACAGCAUGAUUAGAAAUUUAUCUGUGCAACUUUGUCACUUUUCCGAUGGUAGUUACUAAAUGUCGGGACAUUCCAGUGCUCAACAUGGAAUGCCCACAUCCAUGGUUCAGUCAGGAGGAAAAUUGAAGGAUAGAAUUCAGCAAUUCAAGCUCAAUUCUCUUGAAAAACCUAGAGAUAUGGGACUAGGAAUUGAACCGGGAUUUUUUAACAUGGUGACUUGAUUUACCAUGUUGCUAAUAUUGAAGGAUUAGGAUUAAAUGGCUCAAUCCAGAUUUCUUUAAAUGUGAGGAUAUAGAAUCUGGAAUUGAACUUGGACACUUCAAGUGAUAAAUGACAACUUUACUAUGCAAUUUUCAUGAAUGGAAGUCCAAAUUAGCUGUGAGCUUUUUCAUUAGGGAAUUUCUCUAAAAAGCUGCAUUAUUUAGGUUAUUUUAUAAUAGACAAUAUUUCAACAUAUUUUAAUGAAAAGCAGUUUACAUUUUUUCAGCUCAGAAACACAUUAUGAUGUUUUUAAUAGUAAUUUAGACUUCAAUUUACAAGAAAUUGACUUAUGA